UUGCUCUCUGGGUGGCGAGUGGCGGACGGGUGAGGAAUACAUCGGAAUCUACUCUGUCGUGGGGGAUAACGUAGGGAAACUUACGCUAAUACCGCACACGACCUACGGGUGAAAGCAGGGGACCUUCGGGCCUUGCGCGAUUGAAUGAGCCGAUGUCGGAUUAUCUAGUUGGCGGGGUAAAGGCCCACCAAGGCGACGAUCCGUACCUGGUCUGAGAGGAUGAUCAGCCACACUGGAACUGAGACACGGUCCAGACUCCUACGGGAGGCAGCAGUGGGGAAUAUUGGACAAUGGGCGCAAGCCUGAUCCAGCCAUACCGCGUGGGUGAAGAACGCCUUCGGGUUGUAAAGCCCUUUUGUUGGGAAAGAAAUCCAGCUGGCUAAUACCCGGUUGGGAUGACGGUACCCAAAGAAUAAGCACCGGCUAACUUCGUGCCAGCAGCCGCGGUAAUACGAAGGGUGCAAGCGUUACUCGGAAUUACUGGGCGUAAAGCGUGCGUAGGUGGUCGUUUAAGUCCGUUGUGAAAGCCCUGGGCUCAACCUGGGAACUGCAGUGGAUACUGGGCGACUAGAAUGUGGUAGAGGGUAGCGGAAUUCCUGGUGUAGCAUUGAUAUGCGUAGAGAUCAAGAGGAACAUCCAUGGCGAACGCAGCUACCUGGACCAACAUUGACACUGAGGCACGAAAGCGUGAGGAGCAAACAGGAUUACAUACCCUGGUAGUCCACGCCCUAG
rnacentral:rRNA from 1 species